rnacentral:rRNA from 1 species
AACGAACGCUGGCGGCAUGCCUAACACAUGCAAGUCGAACGAGACCUUCGGGUCUAGUGGCGCACGGGUGCGUAACGCGUGGGAACCUGCCCUUAGGUUCGGAAUAACUCCCCGAAAGGGGUGCUAAUACCGGAUAAUGUCUUCGGACCAAAGAUUUAUCGCCUUUGGAUGGGCCCGCGUUGGAUUAGCUGGUUGGUAGGGUAAAAGCCUACCAAGGCGACGAUCCAUAGCUGGUCUGAGAGGAUGCGCAGCCACACUGGGACUGGGCCACGGCCCAGACUCCUACGGGAGGCAGCAGUGGGGAAUAUUGGACAAUGGGCGAAAGCCUGAUCCAGCAAUGCCGCGUGAGUGAUGAAGGCCUUAGGGUUGUAAAGCUCUUUUACCCGGGAUGAUAAUGACAGUACCGGGAGAAUAAGCUCCGGCUAACUCCGUG